rnacentral:rRNA from 1 species
CCCUUAGAUGUCCGGGGCCGCACGCGCGCUACACUGAAGAAAUCAGCGUGGCUUUCUCCCUGACCCGAAAGGGUUGGGAAACCCGUUGAAUCUCCUUCGUGAUAGGGAUUGGGGCUUGAAAUUGUUCCCCAUGAACGAGGAAUUCCCAGUAAGCGCGAGUCAUAAGCUCGCGUUGAUUACGUCCCUGCCCUUUGUACACACCGCCCGUCGCUACUACCGAUUGAACGGUUUAGUGAGGGCCUCGGAUUGGUCUCGGCCCGCUCUUUACCGGGCGGCGCCGUUGGUCGAGAAGACGCUCGAACUUGAUCGUUUAGAGGAAGUAAAAGUCGUAACA